rnacentral:lncRNA from 1 species
AUUUAGUGAUUUUUUUUGUUCCAUUGGUUUUUUUCCAGACUUUAAUAUCACUGAUUUCUGCUUCAUUUUCAUUUCUUUCCUUCUGCUAUUUCAGAUUUCAUUUGCUCUUUCUUUUCAAGUUUCCCAAAGUGAAUAUGCAUCUGCUACUGUGGUCUUCCAGGAUGGUUUUCCUAGGUCACACACUUGCCAUGAGGUGAACAGCAUUGCUACAUGGUACCAUCCUGAGGCAAACAGCAUUGUUACUCCAUAUCAUCCUGUGUCCAUGCUGCUUUACUUCACCACAGCAAUGGAAUACAACAGCCAUGCACUACACCAUAUUUUGACACAACAACAAUGAGUGGCUUACACAAGGGCCAUGCCCCUGGAGUCAGGCAACUGCAUCUUUUGUCUUCUAACCUUUGGCCUGCCCUCAUGAAACAAGUGGAGGCAGAACUUGUAUUAAUCAGGAUGCUGUAAAGGAACAGAACUGAUUGAAUGUGGUGUGUGUGUGUGUGUGUGUGUGUGUGUGUGUGUGUGUGUGUGUGUGUGUUUGUUCUUACUUUUCGUGAGGGUGGGAUUUAAAUGCAGUCUGUGUUCCAUGUAAUCCAACAAUUUAAAGACCAGAAAUCUGGUAGCUGUUCAGCAGUCCCAAUCUGGUGUUGGAGUGCCAGAAGAUUCCCAGAGAGCCACUGGGCUGCAAUCUACAUUGGAAUCCUAAAGAAGUAGGUUCUAGUAUUGGGGAAGGAAUGCCUUGGAAACAGGAUAGACGGAACUUGCCAGCAAGGGUGAGGGCAAGCAGGCUAAAACCAAAAGCUUCCUUCUUCCUUGUCCAUUUCUGUGGGCUUCCACCUUAAGGUAUGGCACAGAAUUGUCAUAAUUCUUCCCAUCACAAAUGACACAGUCAAUAAAAUUUGGGUUUUGGUGGACUUUGGGGAGCCCCCGUUGAGGGCCCUACCCUGCCUGGGG